AGUUUGGGAACGAUUAGGGUUCCCCCUCCGUGCCUCUUUGCAGCUAAAACACAGGACACGAGAUCUUCUCACAGCCAUGAGGUUUCAUGUCCUGAUGCUGAGCUGAGCAGCGUUGUGCUCCAGCAGGACACGAGCAGGGCCGGUCUCUGUGUGUGUGUGUGUGUGUGUGUGUGUGUGUGUGUGUGUGUGUGUGUGUGUCCAUCCAGCUCAAGGCUAAGAUGGCUGCUCCUCGUGCAGAUCGUACACGUUCACCUUGCGCUCAGAUGUAUGGUGUGUCAGAGACUGGAACCCCUAGGUGAUGUCAAACCAUGUCGUGUUCCAGGCCAAGAAGGAGCCGGCCUCAGGGGGGAAGCAGCGGCAGGGGGGGGCGCACCCCAGACACCUCUCCGCCUGGGGCAAGAAGCAACGUCUGCUCGAGAAGGACGUCACCGACAGCGACCUCCACGUCAUGGCCACGAUCUUGUCAGCUGGCUUGGUGGACGUGGACCCCUCCUGCCUGCAGCACCUCAAGGAGUUCCGUGACCUCUGGGGAUCCUCCACCUGAAGGCCGCCCAAAUACCUGCUGAUGCUAAAGACUUGCUAAUGCUAACAUGCUGCUGAUGCUGAAGGACCACCAAUGGAUCACUAAUGAACCAGUAGUGGACCACCAAUGCCAGUCAGCUGCCAGCGAGCUGCUAAUGGUUCACUAGCAUCACCUGGACAUCGCCAUGCGGAGCUAGAUGCUUUGGCCAAAGGAGACUCCCCUGUUGGCCACCUUUCAGGACCCCAACCCCCAACAUUAUUGUGUCAUUUGAGGUUCCGGGUGUGAAUGAAUUUGAUUGACCUCCAGUGACAUUUGCGUUCAUUCAUUUCUCUGCUGCCAUGUCUGCCUUUCCCCUUUGUAGUUGAACUUCCAUAAAGUCCCACUCCUGACCAUUAUGUGGGGGGCAUCUUUCUAUAGACUCCACCCCAAAGUGAACUAGCCAAUCAUAACCUUUGCACCGUUUUUGUUAUUGUACCCAAUAAAGUGACGGUACUUUGCUC
rnacentral:lncRNA from 1 species